GACAGAGGGUGCAAGCGUUGUUCGGAAUUACUGGGCGUAAAGGGCGCGUAGGCGGUCCGCUAAGUUCGGUGUGAAAUCCCCUGGCUCAACUGGGGAACGGCGCUGGAAACUGGCGGACUCGAGUACCGGAGAGGAGGGUGGAAUUCCUGGUGUAGCGGUGAAAUGCGUAGAUAUCAGGAGGAACACCGGUGGCGAAGGCGGCCCUCUGGACGGAUACUGACGCUGAGGCGCGAAAGCGUGGGGAUCAAACAGG
rnacentral:rRNA from 1 species